UAUUGGUUUGGAGAGUUCUUAUCGAUAAAUCAGUUUGCGACCUCGAUGUUGGAUUAAAAUGCAUUACUGGUGUAGAAGCUAGUAAAUUAAGUCUGUUCGACUUUUAAAAUUUUACAUGAUCUGAGUUUAAACCGGCGUGAGCCAGGUUGGUUUCUAUCUCCAAAUAAUUAUAACUUCUUAGUACGAAAGGACCAGAUGUUAACUAAAUUAGUUUAGUUGAGAAU
rnacentral:rRNA from 1 species